UACAGAGGGUGCGAGCGUUAAUCGGAAUUACUGGGCGUAAAGCGUGCGUAGACGGUUAUUUGAAGUCGGGUGUGAAAGCCCCGGGCUCAACCUGGGAAUUGCAUUCGAGACUGAAUAGCUAGGUACGGUAGAGGGAAGCGGAAUUUCCGGUGUAGCGGUGAAAUGCGUAGAUAUCGGAAGGAACAUCAGUGGCGAAAGCGGCUGACUGGACACAUAGUUGACGCUGAGGCUCGAAAGCAUGGGAGCAACAGGAUUAGAU
rnacentral:rRNA from 1 species